CUGAGGUGGUAUAGGAUGGGCAUGCGUCUGAUUAGUUAGUUGGCGGGGUAAUGGCCCACCAAGACGAUGAUCAGUAGGGGUUCUGAGAGGAAGAUCCCCCACACUGGCACUGAGAUACGGGCCAGACUCCUACGGGAGGCAGCAGUAGGGAAUAUUGGUCAAUGGAUGCAAGUCUGAACCAGCCAUGCCGCGUGCAGGAAGAAGGCCUUCUGGGUUGUAAACUGCUUUUGCCAGGGGAUAAAAUUUCCAUGCGUGGAAAACUGAAGGUACCUGGUGAAUAAGCCACGGCUAACUACGUG
rnacentral:rRNA from 1 species